CUUGGUCAUUUAGAGGAAGUAAAAGUCGUAACAAGGUCUCCGUUGGUGAACCAGCGGAGGGAUCAUUACAGAGUUGCAAAACUCCCUAAACCAUUGUGAACGUUACCUAAACCGUUGCUUCGGCGGGCGGCCCGGGUCCUUCCCGGCGCCCCUCGGCCCUCGCGGGCGCCCGCCGGAGGUAAACCAAACUAUUGCAUUGUAUGGCCUCUCUGAGUCUUCUGUACUGAAUAAGUCAAAACUUUCAACAACGGAUCUCUUGGUUCUGGCAUCGAUGAAGAACGCAGCGAAAUGCGAUAAGCAAUGUGAAUUGCAGAAUUCAGUGAAUCAUCGAAUCUUUGAACGCACAUUGCGCCCGCCAGUAUUCUGGCGGGCAUGCCUGUUCGAGCGUCAUUUCAACCAUCAAGCCCCGGGCUUGUGUUGGGGACCUGCGGCUGCCGCAGGCCCUGAAAUGCAGUGGCGGGCUCGCUGUCACUCCGAGCGUAGUAGUUACAUCUCGCUCUGGGCGUGCUGCGGGUUCCGGCCGUUAAAAGCCUUAUUUACCCAAGGUUGACCUCGGAUCAGGGAGCUCCCCGCUGAACUUAAGCAUAUCAAUAAGCGGAGGA
rnacentral:rRNA from 1 species